CUCCUGCCUCAGCCACCUGAGUAGCUGGGAUUACAGGAUUGCUGGAAAGGCCAGGUGGACAAGGUGAGGUCCAGCCGCUUUCCUGCAGCCACGUGGCCACCCACUCACCCUGAGUCCUCGUCCCAGUAGUAGUGGCUCCUGCCGGGAUAACUCUGCUCCACUUUGUCCAUCUGCAAGGUCCUCACGAAGACGCCCGUCUUGGACGUUUGCUUCAGCAGGCGAUUGUGAACGUCCGACAGGAUGGAGAAGGUGGUGCCUCGCGGGUAGCAGAGCCCCACUCGAAUCCAGUCGCCCCUAGGAUGGGAAGUAGAGUCAGGUUACAAACAAGGGUGUCCAGGCCACGGGGCCUUUGGGACAUGCCUCAGAGAAAGAGACCAAAAAAUCUCCACCAAAUGACACCUCCAUUUUCGUAUGGGAAAUUUUGAAAGAACAUUUGCUGUUGUGGUGACCAAGUUGCAGUGUUCAAGGAGAGAACGAGAGACAGUGUCUGCCCGUGAGCAGAGAGUCUGCAUGUUUCACUCAUGUGUCUCCAGGGCCAACAACCGGGGUGCUCCCUGUGGAAGUUUGGGAAAAAGACAUUCUUUUUGUAGCUAAAGAGCACAGGAUCCGAAGGACCUAGGCUCAGCCCCUUCCGGGUCCCAGCUUGAUUGUAGGGCCCAUUUCAUCUCUUCCAUCUCAUUUCCCACAACUGAUAAAUGUCUGUCUCACAGGAAUACUGUGACAAGUAAAUAACAUGCAUAGAAAAUAUUGAAUCUAAACAUAUGAAGCCCUAUCCAGAUGACCUUGGUGUCAUCACUUUGUCUGGUAGAGCCUCAUUUCCCUCUCUGUAGAAUGGUAACAGCAAUACCCAGAUAUUUUUGCCAUCUAUCAAGCACUUGCUAAUGCCAGGUGCUGCGUGCCCGUCAGACAGUAUCUCCCUCCAUCCUCAUUGCACUUCUACAAGGUAACACUAUCCGCAACUCAAAGAUCAAGGAACUCGGGCUCAAGAGGUCAACCCUGCCCAAGGUCACCCAUGCUGGUGCAGGGGCUUGGCCUGUGUCCUUUAAUUCUUGGGUGAUGUCAACCCCUCUAGGUGCUCCUGCAGAGAUCACACGGGCUAGCCUAUGGUUCUGUGAGAGGCAAGUCCAGGACUUUG